UAUAUACUCCCUCCGUCCGGAAAUACUUGUCAUCAAAAUGGAUGGAAAUAGAUGUACCUACAACUAAAAUACAUCUAGAUACAUCCAUUUCAAUGACAAGUAUUUCCAGACGGAGGGAGUACAUA
rfam:Triticum urartu cultivar G1812 contig829368, whole genome shotgun sequence.